UGCAUAUCCAAAAAGCGGAGGAAAAGAAACCAACAGGGAUUGCCUCAGUAACGGCGAGUGAAGCGGCAAGAGCUCAACUUUGGAAUCGCUGCGGCGAGUUGUAGUCUGGAGGUGGCCGGUCCCGGCGCCAGCGCGCAGCCAAGUCCUUUGGAACAAGGCGCCUGAGAGGGUGACAGCCCCGUGGCAGUUUGUGCUGGUGCCGCCUCGGCCCACCGACGAGUCGAGUUGUUUGGGAAUGCAGCUCUAAGUGGGUGGUAAAUUCCAUCUAAAGCUAAAUACCGGCGAGAGACCGAUAGCGAACAAGUACAGUAAUGGAAAGAUGAAAAGCACUUUGAAAAGAGAGUGAAACAGUACGUGAAAUUGUUGAAAGGGAAGGGCUUGCACCCAGACACGGCCUUCUGGCCGGGCCAGCAUCGGGUGGGAGGGAGCGACAACGAGCAGUCGAUGUAGUACAGCCCUCUGGGCUGUGCAUUAUACGUCUUGCUUUCUGGCUCCUCUCCCGCCCGAGGACCGCAGCAAUAAGGAUGCUGGCGCAAUGGUUGCAAGCCACCCGUCUUGAACCACGG
rnacentral:rRNA from 2 species